rnacentral:rRNA from 1 species
AGUGAACGCUGGCGGUAGGCCUAACACAUGCAAGUCGAACGGCAGCACAGUAAGAGCUUGCUCUUACGGGUGGCGAGUGGCGGACGGGUGAGGAAUACAUCGGAAUCUACUUUUUCGUGGGGGAUAACGUAGGGAAACUUACGCUAAUACCGCAUACGACCUACGGGUGAAAGCAGGGGAUCUUCGGACCUUGCGCGAUUGAAUGAGCCGAUGUCGGAUUAGCUAGUUGGCGGGGUAAAGGCCCACCAAGGCGACGAUCCGUAGCUGGUCUGAGAGGAUGAUCAGCCACAAUGGAACUGAGACAAGGUCCAGACUCCUACGGGAGGCAGCAGUGGGGAAUAUUGGAAAAUGGGCGCAAGCCUGAUCCAGCCAUACCGCGUGGGUGAAGAAGGCCUUCGGGUUGUAAAGCCCUUUUGUUGGGAAAGAAAAGCAGCAGGUUAAUACCCCGCUGUUCUGACGGUACCCAAAGAAUAAGCACCGGCUAACUUCGUG